rnacentral:lncRNA from 1 species
ACAAAGCAAGGAUGGUGCAACAUAACUUUAAGGAAAUGCACUGCAGUAAAACCACAACAUAAAUACCAAAAUCAGUUAAUUCUACAACAAACUUUUCAGCUAAGUCAGUUACUGUAGUGAAAGUUUUCUUACCAAUAGUGAAGUCUUGGAAAUGGAGAGAAUUGAGGAAGAGGGACCACAAGUGGAAUAAGGACAAAACUCCCCAGACAUCCUCUGUACAAAAAACCUCUCCACUGCACAGCAGACCUCCACUACUCUGAAAACGCAGCAGAGAGAAAGGAUGAUCGGUCAUAUAUAAUAGGUGGCCACUGUUCAUGAGGAGAGCGG